ACGCUGGCGGCGUGCCUAAUACAUGCAAGUCGAGCGAACGGACGAGAAGCUUGCUUCUCUGAUGUUAGCGGCGGACGGGUGAGUAACACGUGGAUAACCUACCUAUAAGACUGGGAUAACUUCGGGAAACCGGAGCUAAUACCGGAUAAUAUUUUGAACCGCAUGGUUCAAAAGUGAAAGACGGUCUUGCUGUCACUUAUAGAUGGAUCCGCGCUGCAUUAGCUAGUUGGUAAGGUAACGGCUUACCAAGGCAACGAUGCAUAGCCGACCUGAGAGGGUGAUCGGCCACACUGGAACUGAGACACGGUCCAGACUCCUACGGGAGGCAGCAGUAGGGAAUCUUCCGCAAUGGGCGAAAGCCUGACGGAGCAACGCCGCGUGAGUGAUGAAGGUCUUCGGAUCGUAAAACUCUGUUAUUAGGGAAGAACAUAUGUGUAAGUAACUGUGCACAUCUUGACGGUACCUAAUCAGAAAGCCACGGCUAACUACGUGCCAGCAGCCGCGGUAAUACGUAGGUGGCAAGCGUUAUCCGGAAUUAUUGGGCGUAAAGCGCGCGUAGGCGGUUUUUUAAGUCUGAUGUGAAAGCCCACGGCUCAACCGUGGAGGGUCAUUGGAAACUGGAAAACUUGAGUGCAGAAGAGGAAAGUGGAAUUCCAUGUGUAGCGGUGAAAUGCGCAGAGAUAUGGAGGAACACCAGUGGCGAAGGCGACUUUCUGGUCUGUAACUGACGCUGAUGUGCGAAAGCGUGGGGAUCAAACAGGAUUAGAUACCCUGGUAGUCCACGCCGUAAACGAUGAGUGCUAAGUGUUAGGGGGUUUCCGCCCCUUAGUGCUGCAGCUAACGCAUUAAGCACUCCGCCUGGGGAGUACGACCGCAAGGUUGAAACUCAAAGGAAUUGACGGGGACCCGCACAAGCGGUGGAGCACGUGGUUUAAUUCGAAGCAACGCGAAGAACCUUACCAAAUCUUGACAUCCUUUGACAACUCUAGAGAUAGAGCCUUCCCCUUCGGGGGACAAAGUGACAGGUGGUGCAUGGUUGUCGUCAGCUCGUGUCGUGAGAUGUUGGGUUAAGUCCCGCAACGAGCGCAACCCUUAAGCUUAGUUGCCAUCAUUAAGUUGGGCACUCUAAGUUGACUGCCGGUGACAAACCGGAGGAAGGUGGGGAUGACGUCAAAUCAUCAUGCCCCUUAUGAUUUGGGCUACACACGUGCUACAAUGGACAAUACAAAGGGCAGCGAAACCGCGAGGUCAAGCAAAUCCCAUAAAGUUGUUCUCAGUUCGGAUUGUAGUCUGCAACUCGACUACAUGAAGCUGGAAUCGCUAGUAAUCGUAGAUCAGCAUGCUACGGUGAAUACGUUCCCGGGUCU
rnacentral:rRNA from 1 species